rnacentral:rRNA from 1 species
AGAGUUUGAUCCUGGCUCAGGAUGAACGCUGGCGGCGUGCUUAACACAUGCAAGUCGAACGGACCCAUAUUGAAACCUAGUGAUAUAUGGGUUAGUGGCGGACGGGUGAGUAACGCGUGGGUAACCUGCCUUACACAGGGGGAUAACACUUAGAAAUAGGUGCUAAAACCGCAUAAGCGCACAGCUUCGCAUGAAGCGGUGUGAAAAACUCCGGUGGUGUAAGAUGGACCCGCGUCUGAUUAGCUUGUUGGCGGGGUAACGGCCCACCAAGGCGACGAUCAGUAGCCGGCCUGAGAGGGCGGACGGCCACAUUGGGACUGAGACACGGCCCAGACCCCUACGGGAGGCAGCAGUGGGGAAUAUUGCACAAUGGGGGAAACCCUGAUGCAGCGACGCCGCGUGAGUGAAGAAGUAAUUCGUUACGUAAAGCUCUAUCAGCAGGGAAGAAACACUGACCUUACGGUCAGCAGACGGUACCUGAGUAAGAAGCCCCGGCUAACUACGUG